UCGUGUCUACCAACUGUACCGUACCCUCACGAGAGCACAGGCCUGCAGAGAUGUAUCCACCUGAAACAGUCUGCCAUUCCCGGAGCGUUGACAAAUGGAAGACCAAGGGGAUCGUGGGACAACCGAGCUGCAGCGUGGAACUGCUCUGAGACGAGCCCCCCUCCCCAAAUAAAGGCCGGACGCUUCACUUACCGGAGUUGAAACGCAAGAGCCGGAGGCAUAAUCUUCGCUCCGAUUCUUCCGAUGAGGGCCGGGAAGACCCCCACCAAUUCAAUCACCGUCACGUGCCGGAGAUCCAACCCGCACUGGGCUUGCUAGAGGAGCAGAAUCCAAAUUGAGAGCGGAUGAGAACAGGACUCCGAGGCCCAACGCGGAACUCACGAUGGAAACGGUGAUUAUUUCAUUAUUUUGGUCAGAGAAA